UCGAAUAAGAACUUUUACUGUGAUAUUAAAUUUUAUUAUCUUUACAUUAUUUAGUAAUAAGUUUUUUGUUUGUGUUGUCCAACUUUACAAAAAACUGUGAUAUUUUUAAUAAUGUAAUUUUGACAAAAAAGAAUAUUUAUCAUAAAUAAAAUCAAAAAUCCCUGAAGAAGUUGGAAAAUACCAACGAAACGUCGGAUAGAUUGAAGAUGAGAUAAAUAAUCUUUUAUUUGAACAAUGACCUUAAAAGCCUGUUUAUAGGAAACUAUAUUUAAUAAUUGAGAUAA